rnacentral:rRNA from 1 species
AGUGAACGCUGGCGGUAGGCCUAACACAUGCAAGUCGAACGGCAGCCCAGUAAGAGCUUGCUCUUACGGGUGGCGAGUGGCGGACGUGUGAGGAAUACAUCGGAAUCUACUUUUUCGUGGGGGAUAACGUAGGGAAACUUACGCUAAUACCGCAUACGACCUACGGGUGAAAGCAGGGGAUCUUCGGACCUUGCGCGAUUGAAUGAGCCGAUGUCGGAUUAGCUAGUUGGCGGGGUAAAGGCCCACCAAGGCGACGAUCCGUAGCUGGUCUGAGAGGAUGAUCAGCCAAACUGGACCUGAGACAGGGUCCAGACUCCUCCGGGAGGAAGAAGUGGGGAAUAUUGGAAAAUGGGCGAAAGCCUGAUCCAGACAUACCGCGUGGGUGAAGCAGGCCUUCGGGUUGUAAAGCCCUUUUGUUGGGAAAGAAAAGCAGCAGGUUAAUACCCCGCUGUUCUGACGGUACCCAAAGAAUAAGCACCGGCUAACUUCGUG